CUCUUAUCAAGAGCGGCGGAGGGAUAGGCCCUGCGAUGCCCAGCAACCUUCAGAUAGAACUCUGAAAAGGUGCUAAUUCCUACAGACAGAUUAGUCUGAGAGAUAAGGA
rfam:Bacillus galactosidilyticus strain PL133 scaffold000066, whole genome shotgun sequence.